rnacentral:lncRNA from 10 species
GGAGCGCCUUGCCCCGCUCACCCGGGCUGCAGCAGAGGCCCAAGACCGCGCAGCGGCCCCCGCUCCCGCACGCCUUCUGGCCGGACUGGCAGGGCGACGGCAGGUAGUUCUCCUCCUGGCAGCGCAGCGCUUCGGCGGUGCCCACGAAGCAGCCCAGCUCUUCCGCGCAGCAGAUAUUGGGCCCGAAGCAGCGGCCUUUGCCCCCGGGGCCGCAGGGGAGGCACUGCGGGGACGGGCGGGGUGAGCGGGAGCCGGGGCGGCGCUGGGGACUCGCUCGGAGGACCCUGCGAGGCCGGCCGGGGUGCGCCGGGCAAGGAUGCUGGGGUCCGGGGUUCGGAGUUCGGGCGGGACAGCGGGGCUGAGACGCGCUGGGGCGCCGUGGGGGCCUCGACCGCGGUCAAGGGCGGGGCGUCAAAAUCCGCUCAGCUCCUGGAGUUCUCAGGCGAGGCCGGAGCGGGGCGCGCCCCUGUGGCUGCGGGUCCCUCCCUCCCCGGAGCGCCGCGGGACCAGGGCUGGGGACUCACCUUGCGCACGUCGAGGUCCGGCGCGGCCCUCUUGCCUCCCAGGGGGCAGUUCUGGAUGUAGCAGGCGGAGGUCAGCGCCAGGAGGCCGAGCAGACAGCAAGCGAGGCUGGGGCCGGCCAUGGUGCGGGUGCGCUGGGUCCAGGGUCCGUGACUGGUGGCGGUCUCUCCGGCCUGGCCUUUUUAUGCCUGGGCAUUGCGUCGGUGGAGCUCUGUUUAAGAGGGAACCCAACCUGUAGGGAACCCAACCUGAGGCAGAAUGGAAGAAAUGAGAAGCACUGUGAGAGACCAGCCUCACUGGUGGGCCAGUCCCCGACCCCUGGGAGAAGAGAACGGGACAGCUCCAGACUCUCCUGCCCUCUUGUUGAGGAAGGUGAAGAGGCUGAUGGGGCCAAGCAGGUCACAGAGCUCAUCUGACCCUAGUCACUGGCAUGAGUCACUGGCAUGAGCUGUCCAGCACCCAGGAGCCGGUCAGGCUGACCUGCAUUACAAAUCAGCAGCCAGUCCUCUCUCACCCAGAUUAGCUUAUUGGCAUUCAGGGCCUAGAAGUCCAAGGGCCUGACCCAGCAGUGGCCCAGAGAGGUCUCUCACCUGCUCUGUGGGCACGAUGACCUCACUUAAGCUAACACAUGUGCAUAAAUUACCAUAGUAUUAUGUCCCCCAGAUGGGCUGCAUCCCUUCACCUGUUCAACAACCCCUCUUCUGAAGAUGCUCCGGGUCCCAUUACAAAUGCCUGGAAACAGCAGCAACAAAACACAAAAACCUCUGCCCUCAUGGGGCUUAUAUUCUAGUGGAGGAAGAGAGAUGUUAAACAAUAAACACAUUUCAGUUAGUUAGGAAACAAGUAUAAACAAUAAACAUACUUCAGUAACAACAUACAUAUUGCAGUAGAUUAGUAAGUGCUACAGAGAUAAAAGGGAGGCCUGUUGCGAUUUCACCGAGGGUGGUCAGUGUAGACUUCUUUGUGAAGAAGAGAAAAUAAACCAUGCAGAUAUCUGAGGGGACAUUGGUUUUCUGUUGCUGUGUAACAAAUUACCACAGGCCAGGCACGGUGGCUUGUGCCUGUAAUCCCAGCACUUUGGGAGUCUGAAGCGAGAGGAUCACUUAAGCCCAGGAAUUAGAGACCAGCCUGGGCAACAUAGGGAGACCCAGGCUCUAUAAAAUGUUUUUAAAAAAUUAGCUGGGUUUGUUGGCAUGCACCUGCAGUCCCAGCUACUUGGGAGGCUGAGACAGGAAGAUCACUUGAGCCCAGGAGUUCGAGGCUGCAGUGAACUAGGAUGAUGCCACUGCACUCCAGCCUAGGCGACGGAGCGUGACUCUGUCUCAAAACGAAAACAAAAACACAAAAGCUACCACAAUUUGGCAGCUUAAAACAACAUUUGCUUAUUACAUUGGGCCAGGCAUGGCUUAGCUGGGUCUUUUGCUCUGGGGCUACGAUCAGGGUGUCAGCCAGGCUGCAUUCAUUUCCAGAGCCCGGGUGAUUGUUAGCAGAAUUCAUUUCCUUGCAGCUGUCAAACUCGUGGUGGCCUGCUUCUUCAAGGUCAGGAACAGAGAGAGUCUCUGCUGCUUCAAGUCUAAGCACACAGGGAGUCCUUUUCUGAGGGGCACCUGACCUGAUUAGGUCAGACCCACACGGAUCACCACCCUUUUAACUCGGAUUGAUCAGGUGUCUUCAUUACAUCUGCAGAAUCCCCUCACCUUUGCCAUAUAACGUAGUAUAGUCGUGGUUAUCACCUUUGUCAUCUUCUUCUAAUGUUUAGAAGAAAGUUGGCUGGGCACAGUGGGCCACGCCUGUUUUUGUUUUUGUUUUGAGACUGAGUCACGCUCCGUGGCCCAGGCUGGAGCGUGGUUGGCUGGGCGCGCUGGCUCCCAGCACUUUGGGAGGCCAGCGGUGGGUGGAUCACUUGAGGUCAGGAGUUCGAGACCAGUCUGGCCAAUAUGGUGAAACCCCGUCUCUACUAAAAAAAAUACAAACAAAUUUAGCCGGGCGCAGUGGUGGAAGCCUUUAGUCCCAUCUACUCGGGAGGUGGAGGAACCCAGGAGGUGGAGGUGGCAGUGAGCCGAGAUCACGCCACUGCACUUCAGCCUGGGUGACAGAGUGAGACUCUGUCCGUCUCAAAAAAAAAAAAAAAAAGCUAUGGGUUCUACCCACAUGAAGCCAGAAAAGAUUACACAAAGGUAAUCAUUGUGUAAUCCACAGAAAGAUACCAGGGGCUGAGAAUUUCAGGGAUCCACUUUAGCAUUCUGCCUGUAAUGGAGGGGAGGAAAUGACAAGUGCUGAGGUCCUGAGGCAGGAAUGUGCCUGGCAUGUUCAAGGAGCAAGGAGGCCAGUGGUCCUGGAGCAGAGUGACUGAACUCCCGAGAUCGGAAAGGUAACGUGGGACUGCACCUCACAGGGCUUGGGCUUUUCCUCCAAAUGAAAUGGGGGAAUGAGAGGGAGUUCUGAGCCAGCUUACGAUAACUUUGGAUAUAGUGCUGUGACAAGACUGUGGGGAACCAGGCGCGGUGGCUCACACCUGUUAUCCCCGCACUUUGGGAGGCUGAGGUGGGUGGAUCAUGAGGUCAGGAGAUCAAGACCAUCCUGGCUAACAUGGUGAAACUCCGUCUCUACUAAAAAUACAAAAAAAUUAGCUGGGCAUGGUGGCUGGCGCCUGUAGUCCCAGCUACUCUGGAGGCUGAGGCAGGAGAAUCGCUUGAACCCGGGAGGUGGAGGUUGCAGUGAGCCAAGAUCGUGCCACUGCACUCCAGCCUGGGCGACAGAGCGAGACUCCUUCCAAAAAAAAAAAAAAAAGACUGUGGGGAAACUAGGGAGGAGGCUAUGCAGCAAUCCCUGUGAGUAAUGGGAGUGCAAUGUGUGUGUCGAGAAGUGACCUGAUUCUUGGUGCAUUUUAAAGGAGAUACCAACUGCAGUUUGCUGAUGGAUUGGAUGUGAGUGGGAGAGAAAAAGAGGAGUCGAAGAUGACUUCAAUAUUUCUGGUCUGGGCCGGGUGGGAUGGCUCAUGCCUGUAUUCCCAGCUACUCGGGAGGCUGAGACAGGAGAAUCACUUGAACCUGGGAGGUAGAGGUUGCAGUGAACUGAGAUAGCACCGUUGCACUCCAGCCUGGGUGAAACAGUGACUCUGUCUCAAAAAAAAGAUUUCUGGGCCAGGAGUAGUGGCUCAUGCCUGUAAUCCCAGCACUUUGGGAGGCCAAGACUGGGGGGUCACCUGAGGUCAGGAGUUUGAGACCAGCCUGGCCAACAUGGUGAAACCUCGUCUCCACUAAAAAAUACAAAAAUUAGCCAGGCAUGAUGGCGUGUGCGUGUAGUCCCAGCUACUAAGGAGGCUGAGGCAGGGGAAUCACUUGAACCCGGGAGGCAGAGGUUGCAGUGAGCAGAGAUGGUGCCACUGCACUCCAGCCUGGGCAACAGAGCGAGACUCUGUCUCAAAAACAAGAACAAAAACAAAACAAGAUUUCUGGCUUGAGCAAUGGGAAGGAUGAAGGUGCCAUCAGCUGGCAUGGGAACCUGAGGGUGGCACUGAUUUGAGUUGGGAAGAGCAGGGGCUCAGUGCGGACCUGUCAUGUUUGGGAUGCCCGCUACACAUCCAAGAAGAACCUGAGCAGGCAUUUGGAGGUGUGUCUGGAGUUCAGGAGAGAGGUCUAGGCUGAAGCAAUGGUCAGUACCAAUAUUUAUUUAUCUUAUUUAUUUAUUGAGACAGUUUCGCUCUUGUUGCCCAGGCUGGAGUGUAAUAGCACAAUCUCAGCUCACUGCAGCCUCUGCCUCCCGGGUUCAAGCGAUUCUCCUGCCUCAGCCUCCUGAGUAGCUGGGAUUACAGGCAUGCACCACCACGCCCAGCUAAUUUUGUAUUUAUGGUAGAGACAGGGUUUCUCCAUGUUGGUCGGGCAGGUCUCAAACUCCCGACCUCAGGUGGUCUGCCUGCUUUGGCCUCCCAAAGUGCUGGGGUUAUAGGCGUGAGCCACCGCGCCCAGCCAGUACCAAUAUUUAAAGGCCCCACCAGAGUGACAUCACCCUGGGGCAGGACAGAUGGAGAAGAGGACCAAGGAUCCCACUCUAAGCAAGGUAGGGGGAAACAAGCAGGGGUCUGAGGACAGGGUUUCACGGAGGAGGAAGUGUGCCAGAUGCCAAAGGACAUGUAAGGGAGGGACUGAAACUUGAACUUCUUUAUUUAAAAAACUCCAGUGAAGUGCAAUUUACAGAUCGUAAUUUGUACGCACUCUAAGCGUACUGUUUGGUGAUUUUUGGUAAAUUCAAACAGUUGUCCAGCCACUCCCACAAUCCAGUUUUAGAAUACUCUGUCCCCAUGUCAAGUUCCCCCAUGCCCAUUUGCCUUACUGCUGGCUCCCACCCCAGCCCCCAGGAAACCACUGAUAAAGAUUUGCCUUUUCUAGAAAUGUCACCUAAAUGGAACAAUACAGUACUUGAUCAUUUAUGUCUGGCGUUCUGAGGUUCAUCCAAGUUAUUUUGUGUAUCAGUAGUGAAACUACCGAUGCAAAAUUCUAGCUGAGACAGUGAAAGAGAUCUGUCCUAGCCAGUUCCAUCUUGCUUUAACCUCCACGCUGUCCUUGUUCAAUCCUGGGCGUAGGCUGAACUUACUUUGGGAUGAACUUAGUACAUAGUUUAUAGUUUAAAACAAAGGCAGUAACAGCCCUUUCCCAAACCAAACCUCCUUCUUGCCUGGGGACUAGACUGCCUUGGUAGAACUAACAUAUUAGCCACAAGAUUAGAAAUUAUGGUUUAGGAGUCAUGCAGCUGGAGGCUAGAAGAUUCUGACCCUCUCCAAAUUGCUCCUGGGGAUAGCAUCACUAUUGUCAAACCUAAGAUCAGUGCUUGAGAUAUUUUGCAGACCUGCACUCUAUGGAUCAGUUAGCACCACCCAGAUCAAUAAACUGGCUCAUCUGAUAUUGUGGCCCCCACCCAGGAACUCACUCAAUGCAAGAGGACAGCUUCUUCUCCACCCCAGCCAAUAAACACUCCUGACCCAAUGACUGCCCCGCCACCCAGCACAUUAUUCUUAAAAACUCUGAUUCCUGAAUGCUCAGAGAGACUGUUUUGAGCAAUAAUGAAACUUCUGUCUCCUGCCCACCUGGCUCUGAGUGAAUUACUCUUUCUGUAUUGCAAUUCCCCUGUCCUGAUAAAUUGGCUGUCUAGGCAGUGGGUAAGGUGAACCUGUUGGGCGGUUACAGUAGUUCAUUCCUGUUUCAUUCCUGUUUAUUGUUUUUCUUUUUUUUCUUUUCACUUUGUUGCCCAGGCUGGAGUGCAGUGGUGCAAUCUCAGCUCACUGCAGCCUUGACCACCCAGGCUCAAGUGAUCCUCCCCCUUCAGCCUCCAGAGUAGCUGGGACUACAUGUGCGCACCACCACGCCUGGCUAAUAUUUGUAUUUUUUGUAGAGGGUCUCACUUUGUCACCCAGGCUGGAGUGCAGUGGCAUGAUCAGCUCACUGCAACCUCUGCCUCCCGGGUUCAAGUGAUUCUCGUGCCUCAGCCCACAAAGUAGCUGUGAUUACAGAUGUGAGCCACGAUGCCUGGCUAAUUUUUGCAUUUUUUGUAGAGAUGGGGGUUUCACCGUGUUGCCCAGGCUGGUCUUGAACUCCUGAGCUCAAGCAAUCCGCUUGCCUUGGCCUCCCAAAGUGCUAGGAUUACAGGCGUGAGCCGCUGUGCCUGGCCUCAUUGUCAUUUUUAUUUGCAUUUUUCUGAUGAUUACUAAUGUUGAGCAAUUUUUUCAUAUACCUGUUGGCCAUUUGUAUGUCUUUUUUUAUGUUAUUUUAUUUUUAUUUAUUUAUUUUUAAAAAAAUUUUUUAGUAUUUAUUGAUCAUUCUUGGGUGUUUCUCGGAGAGGG